AUUGAACGCUGGCGGCAUGCUUUACACAUGCAAGUCGAACGGUAACAGGCCGCAAGGUGCUGACGAGUGGCGAACGGGUGAGUAAUGCAUCGGAACGUGCCCAGUCGUGGGGGAUAACGCAGCGAAAGCUGUGCUAAUACCGCAUACGAUCUAUGGAUGAAAGCGGGGGACCGUAAGGCCUCGCGCGAUUGGAGCGGCCGAUGUCAGAUUAGGUAGUUGGUGGGGUAAAGGCCUACCAAGCCGACGAUCUGUAGCUGGUCUGAGAGGACGACCAGCCACACUGGGACUGAGACACGGCCCAGACUCCUACGGGAGGCAGCAGUGGGAAAUUUGGACAAUGGGCGCAAGCCUGAUCCAGCAAUGCCGCGUGCAGGAAGAAGGCCUUCGGGUUGUAAACUGCUUUUGUACGGAACGAAACGGCCUGGGUUAAUACCCUGGGCUAAUGACGGUACCGUAAGAAUAAGCACCGGCUAACUACGUGCCAGCCGCCGCAGUAAUAC
rnacentral:rRNA from 1 species